rnacentral:rRNA from 1 species
UACGUAGGGUGCAAGCGUUAAUCGGAAUUACUGGGCGUAAAGCGUGCGCAGGCGGCGCCGCAAGUCAGGCGUGAAAGCCCCGAGCUUAACUUGGGAACUGCGCUCGAAACUACUUGGCUAGAGUGUGGCAGAGGGAGGUGGAAUUCCACGUGUAGCGGUGAAAUGCGUAGAGAUGUGGAGGAACACCGAUGGCGAAGGCAGCCUCCUGGGCCAACACUGACGCUCAUGCACGAAAGCGUGGGGAGCAAACAGG